GACAAACAGGAAGAAGCCAUAUGUGGUCACCAGGCCACAGACACAUGGAAAAGUUAUUUCUGACUCUGCUAAAGGUGUCCUGUCACCCCAAGCAAUGCCAAAGGUCAUGCUGUCCCCCUUCUUGUAUUCACAAGGCAAUGUCCCAUUGACACCCUCCUAAAAGGGCACAGACCUUAAGGUUAAAAUGUUCCCUGCUGGUGUCUCUUCCAGUCUCAUCCCAAGCCAGUGGCUUUAUCUGUGUUGCCACACAGUCAUACCCAAAUCUAUGUCUGGAGCAUCACAGGCCUCCCGCCACUGCCGGCCCUUGCUUCAUCUAGCCCAGCCUGGAAUUUUCCUUUGAAGUUCUCUUCCCUGCCACUCCCUUACCCAAAUCAGCACAGCAUGCACAUGUUUCCUUCCUUCCUCUCACUGAUGCUUCCAAAUGCACUUCCCUGGGCCUUCUAAUUUCUGUCCAGGUAUAUUCACACAUUCAGUCUGAAGAAACAUUCCCAACCUUUGAGUCAGUGAAAAUACCACAAUCUGGCGGGGUAUGGUGGGCAGACAUUUAGGUCCAGCUACUCAGGAGGCCUGGGCAGGAAAAUGCCAUUUCCCAUGGCUUCAAGUCCCUCCUCAGAAUCUUACUGUGCCCCUGUUUCAAAACCAACGGCAAAGAAAGCCAAACUCCAAAGCAGGGCUCUCUUUUGGUGAGCUCCCACCAGCUCUUUAAUCACGUUUAAUUUAAUUAAAUUUGGGACUCUGAUUCCUCAUCUCUCCCUCUUUGUCUGGACCCAAGAGUUGAGACCAGUGUUGAAGGCAGCAUGUUGUGAAAAUCUCUGUGCAUUAUUGAACACUCAGCUGGAACCAUUUCCCUCUGCACGUGUUCAUGUUAUAGCUUGAGUCCAUGAGGAAGUUGAUGUGGCAUUUCACUAGCAGUAAAGGUCCCACGCAUUCCUUCCCUCUCUGGCCAAAGAAAACUUGAAGCAGUGGGACCUCAGUGCAAAGGAACAUGAUGUGAUGCAAGAACUGACUCAGGAAACGCUGGUGGACUUCAUGCCCCCCGUGAGCCAAGCGCGGUGUAGGCAAUUAGGGAGGAGAUGGUUAGAUGCAGACAGACACCCAGGUCACUCUCCCAGAGAUGCUCCCAUGUGGCCGGGAGACAGAUGUGUGUCCCAGGACAAGCUGCAGGGAAGGGACAAGAAGUGGGUGGCAAUGGCACUGGCUGAGAGCGCAGGAGUCUUCCCAGGUCUCUGCACCUGGCGCCUGUCUUCAGCUGCAGGUACCUGGCCAAUGACCUGGAAGAGGAAAACCAGCUUAUCCAACUAG
rnacentral:lncRNA from 1 species